ACUGUGGACGACUUGGACACACACAUCCCGCAAGAAAGUCAAAACCAAGAUGUCUUAGCUGCGGGUAAAGCGAGUGCAAGGCAAACUAGCCAAAAUGACGACCAUACAUACACAGACUAUGACAAAUGUCCAGUUUCGCAAAAAGAAAAAUGCUCAACCACAUCAAAGCAGUAAAAAACAUAAGUAGACGAGAAGCUUUAAAACAUACAACAACAAUAACAAUAAUAGAUUUGACGCACUUACUGUGAAUUCAUUAGAUCCUGCCAGCCAAGACUACCUACUCUCACUUUAAUUUCAAAAAUUUGUUUGAAAAUAAUUUUCGCAGUUUGAUCGGGCUUGAAAGAUUGGAAUAAACCUAUUUCAAAGCAGGAACACCACAAUAAAGUAUGUGUCUAACUACAUUCCUUGACAAGUAAUAUUUUUUGAAAUGAUUUACUUAUGUGAUUGUGCAUGUACUUAAAAUAUAUAUAAAGGCACCAAAAGAAAAAAAGUGAGGUGCAAUAAUAUGUAGAACAUCAAUCAAAAUACCAUUGUUUUGCUUUACUUUUAUUUUCUUAUUCCUAUGUAGCUACAUAUUAUAGAUAAGUGUCUAUGUACAUAUA